rnacentral:rRNA from 1 species
GACGAACGCUGGCGGCGUGCUUAACACAUGCAAGUCGAACGGAAAGGCCCUGCUUUUGUGGGGUGCUCGAGUGGCGAACGGGUGAGUAACACGUGAGUAACCUGCCCUUGACUUUGGGAUAACUUCAGGAAACUGGGGCUAAUACCGGAUAGGAGCUCCUGCUGCAUGGUGGGGGUUGGAAAGUUUCGGCGGUUGGGGAUGGACUCGCGGCUUAUCAGCUUGUUGGUGGGGUAGUGGCUUACCAAGGCUUUGACGGGUAGCCGGCCUGAGAGGGUGACCGGCCACAUUGGGACUGAGAUACGGCCCAGACUCCUACGGGAGGCAGCAGUGGAGAAUAUUGCACAAUGGGCGGAAGCCUGAUGCAGCAACGCCGCGUGCGGGAUGACGGCCUUCGGGUUAUAAACCGCUUUCGCCUGUGACGAAGCGUGAGUGACGGUAAUGGGUAAAGAAGCACCGGCUAACUACGUG